GCUGGGCAUGGUGGUGCAUGCCUGUAAUCCCAACUACUCCGGAGGCUGAAGCAGGAGAAUUGCUUGAACCCAGGGGGUGGAGUUUGCAGUGAGCUGAGUUCGUGCCACUGCACUCCAGCCUGGGCAAUAGAGUGAGACUCUGUCUCAA
rnacentral:SRP_RNA from 2 species